UUUUCUGCGGCCGUAACAAACAUGGCGCCUCUAUCCAUCCAUCCAUGCAGUACCGCGGUCUGUCUUCCAGGAUCUUUAACCUGUAAAAGUUAGACCAUCCUUUUCGGAUGGAGCGGCACGCAGCACGGUACAGCAGCUCUGACAGUCAAUCACAGAAAAAACUACAGCGGGAUGUGAAGAAGGUACCCAAAACCAUUGGUGACCCACACCCCCCUUCAGCGGAGCCAUGAUGGCGGAAGCUUGUUCAGCAUCCCUCCUGAAGACCUCCGACACGCAAGCCCUGACAUGCAGCAGUGGCAAGGGCGAGAGGACAAUCGGGCUGAGGGCCACAUAGUUGAUGAGGAAAUCCAUAGGGGAUGGUGAAUGUGGAUCUUCAGUAGCUGUGCCAGCCCAGCGCCCCCCUCCCACAACGAACUUCCCAGCUGCACACACAUCCUGCUUAGUGGGGAGCUGACUUUGGUUCCACACUCUGAUGAAGGUGCUGCUGUUGGAGCAUCGUGGACGCGGCACAUUCAGCUGAGGCUUCCUUUAACAUAUGGACGAGGGCGGGAUGUUCCCACAGCGCCCUCACUCCAGGAGGGCCUCCCACCACAGCGGAGACCAAUCAAAGGCCACAUUUCCUGCUGAGCACCGAGGCAGUUCCGCUGAUAGGACGUCAUAUCGCUGAGUCGCCGCCUGUCCGGGUCAUGGCACCUUCCCCUCCUGCACACCUUACUCAAUGAGGAGGCGGCCCCCAGUGACCCCGCCCCCACCCCUGUGACAAUCAGCUGACAGGCUAGCACUAAUAACCGAAUGUAGAUCUACUUGUUUGUGGGGGGAGGCCUAGCGUGCACCGGGCCCACCCCCCCAGUCUGCUCAUUGGACAGCCUUGUAGGAGAAUUCCCUAACAGCUCUGAUCCCUCUUUAGCCAGUGGCUUAAGAAUAAAACAGCUCUAGUGAAAGUCAGAAAAAAGAAACAUGGGUGAUGCUGCAUACCACAGAGCAGCCUGCCCCCCCCCCCCCCCCAUGAAAAAUGCUGAUCCCAAACAGGGCCGUUCCCAUGGAGAGGGGGGCUGUUUCAUCACCGUCUUCCAGCUUUAUCUCUCUGUAGCCUGGAACUUUGCUUCUUCUUAGAGAGUAACUGUAUCCUUAUCUGCCCCCCCUUGCUGCGCCGCUCCCCCCAGGCAGGGCAGCCCAGCACCCAUGGCCCAUGAGUGUGAGAGCGACCUCAGGGACCUGGCUUCAUUAUCUCAUCCGGCUGUGCAGGACCACCUAAUCGGGUCGAUUAGCAGACGGCACCGGCACCUCACACACCCGUGUCUCUCAGCAGACAGUGACCCAGAUCAGUGGGCCGGGGGGAGGGGCUCCACCGCGCACCUUCCUCUGGGAGCGCUUGUAUGCUUCAGUGGACAGGCAGUGAGGAGAUAAGGCUGGGGGGGUCCCUUAUGUCUGCGGUGGGGGGAUUUCUCCCCCAUAUCUGUUAAUCAGCAGAAGAUAUGGGGGGGGGGGCUCUUUGGGGGCCUGUUCACAUUUCCCAGGGACCCCUGACCCAAAAAGGCUUUCUCUGUCUCACUGGUGCGCUUAACCACACACACAGGUGCAGACAUACCCACUGGGGUGGGCAAGGCACCCCCCAAACUGGCCAACUGAAAGCAUCACGCCCCCCCCACCGUCUGUUGUCCUCCCUUAUUACCUGGUCUCUCUCUGUCUGCUUUUCAGCCCUGUCCCUGGCCUCCAUAGCCCUCAAGGUGAAACUCAGCACCACAAUUCCUUGUAUGUGUGAACGUACUUGGCAAUAAACCCGAUUCUGAUUCUGA